rnacentral:rRNA from 1 species
UACGGGGGGGGCAAGCGUUGUUCGGAAUUACUGGGCGUAAAGGGCUCGUAGGCGGCCAACUAAGUCGGAUGUGAAAUCCCCCGGCUUAACCUGGGAACUGCGUCUGAUACUGGAAGGCUUGAGGAUGGGAGAGGGAUGUAGAAUUCCAGGUGUAGCGGUGAAAUGCGUAGAUAUCUGGAGGAAUACCGGUGGCGAAGGCGGCAUCCUGGACCAUUACUGACGCUGAGGCGCGAAAGCUAGGGGAGCAAACGGG